UACAGAGGAUGCAAGCGUUAUCCGGAAUGAUUGGGCGUAAAGAGCUCGUAGGCGGUUUGGCAAGUCGGGUGUGAAAACUCCGGGCUCAACUCGGAGACGCCACUCGAUACUGCUAUGACUCGAGUCCGGUAGGGGAGUGCGGAAUUCCUGGUGUAGCGGUGAAAUGCGCAGAGUAUCAGGAGGAACACCGGUGGCGAAGGCGGCACUCUGGGCCGGUACUGACGCUGAGGAGCGAAAGCGUGGGGAGCGAACAGG
rnacentral:rRNA from 1 species